rnacentral:rRNA from 1 species
AGUGAACGCUGGCGGUAGGCCUAACACAUGCAAGUCGAACGGCAGCACAGUAAGAGCUUGCUCUUACGGGUGGCGAGUGGCGGACGGGUGAGGAAUACAUCGGAAUCUACUUUUUCGUGGGGGAUAACGUAGGGAAACUUACGCUAAUACCGCAUACGACCUACGGGUGAAAGCAGGGGAUCUUCGGACCUUGCGCGAUUGUAUGAGCCGAUGUCGGAUUAGCUAGUUGGCGGGGUAAAGGCCCACCAAGGCGACGAUCCGUAGCUGGUCUGAGAGGAUGAUCAGCCAAACUGGAACUGAGACACGGUCCAGGCUCCUACGGGAGGCAGCAGUGGGGAAUAUUGGACAAUGGGCGCAAGCCUGAUCCAGCCAUACCGCGUGGGUGAAGAAGGCCUUCGGGUUGUAAAGCCCUUUUGUUGGGAAAGAAAAGCAGCAGGUUAAUACCCCGCUGUUCUGACGGUACCCAAAGAAUAAGCACCGGCUAACUUCGUG